UCGUUCGACUCCAGCAGGAAAGCAGGUCGCGUCCAGCGCAUCGCCGCGCACAAGGGCGGAGAAAAGAGGCAACUAUUCGGGAGCCGUUGGGCGUUGGCUGUUCCCCCUCCAUUGCCGGCCGCCCAUCACCUUCCCCUCCCGCCCGCGCCCUCGUCCCCGCGUCCUCGCCACCACCUAAUCGGCUGACCCGCCCGCCUUCCCCUCCGCUCCCCCGCGCGCCCGGCCACCCUCCGCCACCCCGAUGGCCGGCACCCCGCCGUCGUCGCGGGACCCGUCGCCGCAGCCCCGGCGGCCGGCCUCAUCCGCGGGGCGCCCCAAGCGCGGGGGCCUCCUGCUCGGCCGCUACGAGCUGGGCCGGCUCCUCGGCCACGGCACCUUCGCCAAGGUCUACCACGCCCGCCACGCCGACACCGGCGAGGCCGUCGCCAUCAAGGUGCUCGACAAGGAGAAGGCCCUCCGCAACGGCCUCGUCCCGCACAUCAAGCGCGAGAUCGCCAUUCUCCGCCGCGUGCGCCACCCCAACAUCGUCCGGCUCUACGAGGUCAUGGCCACCAAGUCCAAGAUCUACUUCGUCAUGGAGUACGUCCGCGGCGGGGAGCUCUUCGCGCGCGUCGCCAAGGGCCGCCUCAAGGAGGACAUCGCGCGCAGGUACUUCCAGCAGCUCAUCUCCGCCGUCGGCUUCUGCCACGCCCGGGGCGUCUUCCACCGCGACCUCAAGCCCGAGAACCUCCUCGUCGACGAGAGCGGCGACCUCAAGGUCUCUGAUUUCGGACUCUCGGCCGUCGCCGACCAGUUCCACACUGACGGGCUUCUCCACACCUUCUGCGGCACGCCCUCCUACGUCGCGCCGGAGGUGCUCGCGCGCCGCGGCUACGACGGCGCCAAGGCGGACAUAUGGUCUUGCGGUGUCAUCCUGUUCGUGCUCAUGGCAGGCUACCUUCCUUUCCACGACCAGAACCUCAUGGCGAUGUAUCGUAAGAUUUACAGGGGGGAAUUCCGGUGCCCGAGGUGGUUCUCCAGGGAUCUUACCAGUCUCUUGAAUCGUGUGCUUGAUACGAACCCAGAGACGAGGAUCACCGUGGCUCAGAUCAUGGAGAGCAGAUGGUUUCUGAAGGGGUUCCGACCGGUCAGGUUCUAUGUCGAGGAUGACCAGGUGCACAGUUUGGCAGACGAUGAGAAUGAGGUGCCGGACCAGGGGCCUAGUCAGCCUCCUCAGCCACCGCCACCACAGCAAGAGGACGACGGUGAUGACUCUGGGUGGGAAUCAGAUUCGUCCGUAGCAUCCUGCCCAGCCACAUUGUCAUCGGAGGAGAGAAGACGGCCCCUUGGAUCCCUCACACGGCCAGUAAGUCUAAAUGCGUUUGAUAUUAUAUCAUUCUCAAGAGGAUUCAAUUUGUCGGGGUUAUUUGAGGAGCGUGGUAAAGAAGUGAGGUUUGUCUCAGCACAACCCAUGCAAACGAUUGUAACAAAACUGGAGGAGAUUGCAAAGGUAAAGAGCUUUGCAGUUCGGCGGAAGGACUGGCGGGUGAGCCUGGAAGGCACGAGGGAAAGUGAGAAGGGUCCAUUGACAAUUGCGGCCGAGGUAUUUGAGCUCACACCGAGUCUUGUGGUGGUGGAGGUGAAGAUGAAGGUAGGGGACAGGGAAGAGUAUGAGGACUUCUGUGAGAGGGAGUUGAAACCUGGGAUGCAGAACCUUGUGCACCAUACGGCCUCCAUUCCAGAUAUACUUUCUGAUACUGAGUAGCUUGUAAGGCUUGCUGGAUGGGUGCCUCGGCUUUACUUUGGUGUGGAAGGAAAAUUGGACAGCUACAGGUCAAAGAUGCAUAUAGACACAAAAGUAAGUUUCCCAAAUGCUGUAAGAUUUUCAUUUCGUUUUUUGUAUGUUAUAUUUCGUUUCUCUAUCUAAGGCUUUUUGCAGGUUAGUUUUCCCAUGAAGCUCCAUGUGCCAGAUCGAACCAGCUCAGUGGGAGGCUUCAUUCUUUUCCCUCAUUGAUUCAUUACAUUUUUUUGUAAUGCACCGCCAAAAGUCAAGCCAUCUGUCACUUUAGGUACUCGCUAAGGACUCGGAGCCUGCUGUCACAGAGUACAAGUACGGGCAAAUGCAUAAAACACAAGCAUGAACUAGUCAAGCGCAUAUGCCAGUACAACAUCGAAGCUUGCAGCCUGCUUUUAUGCUGAUUUGAAUCAGACUAAUGUGUCGUGUGGUAUUAUUUGUGUUCUCCAUGCUUGUAUUGGUUAAACAAACAUCAUCUCAGCUUGAAACUCACAGCGCCCGCAGGCUCAACUUGUCGUUAAAUAUACUGAACUAAGUUUGUUUCCUCCAGAAAUCUGCUGACAGAAACAUUCAGCUGCAGGUGAACUCCAUGGUAUCUGGAGAUUUAUUUUCUUCCACUUGUUUUGUGAUAAUGAGUUGACUUGUUUUGUGAUAAUGAGUUGAGGCUACCAUCUGCUGUGAAUUCUUCACCUACUUGGUGCAUAUUGACUAGAAUUUGUACUUUGAUAGUGAAUGAGGUGUGGAAACUACUAGAAUUGUUUGGUAGACACUACCAGAUUCAACUAUAUAUUAAAAUCUGAAAUGUCUGGAAGCAGUUGAUCUGUCCAAUAUGGACCAGCUUAAUUGACUCGUUCUCGCUGUUUGCAGGUUUCUGAACGAUUUCAAGGUUCAUAGGUCAGUUUUCUCGAGCAGUUGAGUCCACCCAAAGGUGCUGUCGCAGUUUUCUUCCUGUUUGCUAUCUGUGUAGAACUUUCAGUCCCUUGAACGGUACCAGCAGUGCUGCUGGCUGCUGCUGAUUGCUGCAGGGACUAGUGUUCUUCCUGAGAAGGGCCUUGCAACCCAGCGGUCAAGCAAGGUCGCAGCUGAUGAUCGAGAAUGGAGAAAAGCGUUAUACUGUUGCUGUAUACUCCAUCCCAAAAAAUAAGUCACUUUAGGAAU